GAAGAAAUGAAAUUAUUGGAAAUAGUCCCACUCCAAUUUAACUGGUUGAAGCAAAAACUUAUCAUCCAGUUUUCCCAACCAACAUAUUAUGUUGCUAACUUCAUAUAGUAAAACUUGAUGGACAUUGUAGAAGUCAUCAAUUGUGUAUAUACAUGAUUUACCUGCCACAGCAUCAAAUAACACAUUAAACCAACCAGCAACCAGAUUUCAAUUCUCUGAUAGCAUUU
rnacentral:misc_RNA from 1 species